rnacentral:rRNA from 1 species
CAGUCGCCGCGGUAAUACGAAGGGUGCAAGCGUUAAUCGGAAUUACUGGGCGUAAAGGGCUCGCAGGCGGUUUCUUAAGUCUGAUGUGAAAGCCCCCGGCUCAACCGGGGAGGGUCAUUGGAAACUGGGAAACUUGAGUGCAGAAGAGGAGAGUGGAAUUCCACGUGUAGCGGUGAAAUGCGUAGAGAUGUGGAGGAACACCAGUGGCGAAGGCGACUCUCUGGUCUGUAACUGACGCUGAGGAGCGAAAGCGUGGGGAGCGAACAGGAUUAGAGACCCCCGUAGUCCCUGUCUCUUAUAU